rnacentral:rRNA from 1 species
UAAGGAAUAUUGGUCAAUGGACGCAAGUCUGAACCAGCCAUGCCGCGUGGAGGAUGAAGGUCCUCUGGAUUGUAAACUUCUUUUAUAUGGGACGAAAAAGGGCUUUUCCAAGUCAACUGACGGUACCAUAUGAAUAAGCACCGGCUAACUCCGUGCCAGCAGCCGCGGUAAUACGGAGGGUGCAAGCGUUAUCCGGAUUCACUGGGUUUAAAGGGUGCGUAGGUGGGUUGGUAAGUCAGUGGUGAAAUCCCCGAGCUUAACUCGGGAACUGCCAUUGAUACUAUCAGUCUUGAAUACCGUGGAGGUCAGCGGAAUAUGUCAUGUAGCGGUGAAAUGCUUAGAUACGACAUAGAACACCAAUUGCGAAGGCAGCUGGCUACACGAAUAUUGACACUGAGGCACGAAAGCGUGGGGAUCAAACAGGAUUAGAUACCCUGGUACGUCCACGCCCUAAACUAUGGAUACUCGACAUACGCGAUACACUGU